CAGGCUGGCUAGAUGGGUCGCUGGCGACUCCCAUCAGGGAGGCGUCAGAGGAAAGUCCGCACUCCAUAGAGCGCAGCGCCGGGUAACGCCCGGAAUGGGAGCCGGGGAGACCCCCGGUGAACCGUUGGACAGGGCCACAGAAACAGACCGCCUUCCCUGAAGGGAAGGUAAGGGUGAAAAGGUGGGGUAAGAGCCCACCGGUGCGGGUAGUAAUAUCCGCAGCCAGGCAACCCCCGCUGGGAGCAAAGCCAAGCAGGAACGUUGUGGCUGCUCGUCACCUGGCUCUGAAAAGAGCUGGCGUUCCGGGUAGGCUGCUUGAGCUGUGCUGUGAAGCACAGCCUAGAUAGAUGACCCAUUCACGCAGGAGCCGAGGCAUGUGCCUUACCCUCCUGCCGGACAGAAUGCGGCUUACAGGCUAGCCUGGGGA
rnacentral:RNase_P_RNA from 1 species